rnacentral:rRNA from 1 species
GACGAACGCUGGCGGCGUGCUUAACACAUGCAAGUCGUACGGUAAGGCCCUUUCGGGGGUACACGAGUGGCGAACGGGUGAGUAACACGUGAGUAACCUGCCCACAACUUUGGGAUAACGCUAGGAAACUGGUGCUAAUACUGGAUAUGUGCUCCUGCUGCAUGGUGGGGGUUGGAAAGCUCCGGCGGUUGUGGAUGGACUCGCGGCCUAUCAGCUUGUUGGUGGGGUAGUGGCCUACCAAGGCGGCGACGGGUAGCCGGCCUGAGAGGGUGACCGGCCACAUUGGGACUGAGAUACGGCCCAGACUCCUACGGGAGGCAGCAGUGGGGAAUAUUGCACAAUGGGCGCAAGCCUGAUGCAGCAACGCCGCGUGCGGGAUGACGGCCUUCGGGUUAUAAACCGCUUUCAGCAGGGACGAAGCUUUUUGUGACGGUACCUGCAGAAGAAGCACCGGCUAACUACGUG